AAAAUUAAAAAUUAAAAACUAAAAUUUCAGUUGCUUCUUCAAUAAAUCAGUACUUCAUUAGGCUUUACCAUCCUAUCUGCAUUCAAGUUGUUAAUUUGAGGGGGCACUGUGUGGUUAAGAUUGUAGUUCACAUGGUUGGCUUGGGUUAUCAUGGUGUUGAUUGUACUUCCAUUUGCUUCUGUUUGAUGUACUGAAUUGUUUCAUAUUCAAUGGUUAUGGCAGAGCAUCUUUAGAUUGUGGAAUUGAUGGGUGGAAUACUUUCAAAACGAGCAAGUUCACGUCAGGCGUCAAGUUCACAUUCAUGGAGCUAUCCACAGUCAUCAUAUGUGCAACCAAAUCAAGAAUUUAUACCAUGCCAACAGUAUACAUAUGCACCUCCAAGUUAUGGUGGUCGAGCCCCAGAUUCUGGGAGGAGGUUGGAUAGAAAGUACUCAAAGAUAGAUGAUAAUUACAAUAGUCUGGAGCAGGUGAAUUGUUGAUGCCAAAGAAGUUGCCAUAGGAAAAUUUAGUUUGUGUUUUGAUCAAUGAGCACUCAUUAUCAGGAUUCAAGGAUUAAGGGCUAGUUACAAAUGAAUGAGGGCACUACUUUUGAGAAACCAGAUGAAAUGUGUUAUCAAACAGAGGAACAUUAUAGAUAAAACAAGCUUCAAGCUAGGGUUCUUGAAAAUCAAUGAUCAGUAACUUUUAGGUAUCACAACCAAGACAAGGAUUCCUUAACAUACAGUUAAGUAGUGAUCUCACCCUACAGGUGUCUAUGGCUUGGUUAUUUGGGGCAGGUUACCUGAAGGGGUGCCCUCAAACCGGUGACUAGACAACUGAUGUGCAUAAGAAUCAAGUAUUCUUAGGAGCUAACUUCCUUCCCAUUACAGAGGCUGUUGAAUCAGCAGCAUAAUGAUUCUCUAAGAUCAAAAGAAAACCAUAUCCAACCAAAUUCAAUAUUCAGUAAUUCAAGCUUUCAAUCAGGCUCUCCUUUAAAAUUAAGCCAACAUUCCUUUUGUCUUCUUGCUUCAGCAUUAGAUUUAGAUAGUGAUUGUUAUUUAUCUGUACGUCAAAUGGUAUCGUUGUGGAGGACCAAAGUGGAGCCAAUUUUGUUUGAGAAGUUCUUGAGGAUUUGGUUCAAUUGGAAGAAAAAUUUUGUUCUCUUGGAUUCUGAAGUUUUUCUGAUGUUUUUCUGCUUUUCUAAGGGGAAGAAUACUUCCUUUUCUCCAUAAAGAAAGUGUUCUGUCUUACAUUCAAUCUGUCAUCAAUGGUUACUAAUGGCCUAGUCUUCAAAUCUCAUUGUGGGUAUUGAUUUCACAAAGAGCAAUGAGUGGACAGGUGCAAGGUCAUUUAACCGAAGAAGCCUGCAUCAUAUUGGAGAUGAUCAGAAUCCUUAUGAACAAGCAAUAUCUAUCAUAGGAAAAACAUUGUCUUCUUUUGAUGAGGAUAACUUAAUUCCCUGUUUUGGAUUUGGAGAUGCCUCAACACAUGAUCAAGAAGUCUUCAGCUUCUAUCCCGAUGAGAAGUUUUGUAAUGGAUUCGAGGAAGUACUUGGUAGAUAUAGAGAAUUAGUUCCCCAGUUACGGCUUGCAGGCCCAACAUCAUUUGCUCCUGUUAUUGAAAUGGCAAUCACUAUUGUUGAGCAGAGUGGUGGUCAGUACCAUGUUUUAUUGAUAAUAGCAGAUGGACAGGUUACAAGAAGUGUAGAUACUGUGAAUGGCCAAUUAAGCCCUCAAGAGAAGAGAACAGUUGAAGCAAUUGUUAAAGCUAGUCAAUACCCCUUGUCAAUUGUUUUAGUUGGGGUUGGAGAUGGGCCAUGGGACAUGAUGAGGGAAUUUG
rnacentral:misc_RNA from 1 species